CCUACGGGAGGCUGCAGUGGGGAAUAUUGGACAAUGGGGGGAACCCUGAUCCAGCCAUGCCGCGUGUGUGAAGAAGGCCCUCGGGUUGUAAAGCACUUUCAGUGAGGAAGAACGCCUGGUGGUUAAUACCCAUCAGGAAAGACAUCACUCACAGAAGAAGCACCGGCUAACUCCGUGCCAGCAGCCGCGGUAAUACGGAGGGUGGGAGCGUUAAUCGGAAUUACUGGGCGUAAAGCGCGCGUAGGUGGCUUGAUAAGCCGGUUGUGAAAGCCCCGGGCUCAACCUGGGAACGGCAUCCGGAACUGUCAAGCUAGAGUGCAGGAGAGGAAGGUAGAAUUCCCGGUGUAGCGGUGAAAUGCGUAGAGAUCGGGAGGAAUACCAGUGGCGAAGGCGGCCUUCUGGACUGACACUGACACUGAGGUGCGAAAGCGUGGGUAGCAAACAGGAUUAGAUACCCGAGUAGUC
rnacentral:rRNA from 1 species